rnacentral:rRNA from 1 species
AUUGAACGCUGGCGGCAGGCCUAACACAUGCAAGUCGAGCGAGCGGCGGACGGGUGAGUAAUGUAUGGGGAUCUGCCCGAUAGAGGGGGAUAACUACUGGAAACGGUUGCUAAUACCGCAUACUAUCGGCUGACCCCAUAUGUGAUGAGCUUGUCUGUGGGGUAAAGGCGCACCUAGGCGACGAGAGCUAGCUGUUCUGAGAGGAUGAUCAGCCACACUGGGACGGAGACACGGACCAAACGCCUACGGGAGGCAGCAGUGGGGAAGAUUGCACAAUGGGCGCAAGCCUGAUGCAGCCGUGCCGCGUGUAGGAAGAAGGCCUUAGGGUUGGAAAGUACUUGCAGCGGGGAGGCGUUACCCGCAGAAGAAGCACCGGCUAACUCCGUGCCAGCAGCCGCGGUAAUUC